UGAUCAAGAACGAAAGUUAGAGGUUCGAAGGCGAUCAGAUACCGCCCUAGUUCUAACCAUAAACGAUGUUGACUAGCCAUCCGAUAAAGGUU
rnacentral:ncRNA from 1 species